rnacentral:rRNA from 1 species
GUAGUCAUAUGCUUGUCUCAAAGAUUAAGCCAUGCAUGUCUAAGUAUAAACCAAUUUAUACGGUGAAACUGCGAAUGGCUCAUUAAAUCAGUUAUAGUUUAUUUGAUGGUAUCUUACUACAUGGAUAACUGUGGUAAUUCUAGAGCUAAUACAUGCAUCAAAGCCCCGACUCUUGGAAGGGGUGUAUUUAUUAGAUAAAAAACCAACGCGGUUCGCCGCUCCUUUGGUGAUUCAUAAUAACUUCUCGAAUCGCAUGGCCUUGCGCCGGCGAUGCUUCAUUCAAAUAUCUGCCCUAUCAACCUUCGAUGGUAGGAUAGAGGCCUACCAUGGUUUCAACGGGUAACGGGGAAUGGGGCGGGGGCGGCGGGCCGGGCGCGGGGCGCGGCGGGCG